rnacentral:ncRNA from 1 species
AUUUCAGGGGAGCUUGUAUAAGCAGGCUGAGAGGAAGUAAUCGAACUUCGACCCUUCAAACCUGAUUUGGGUAAUGCCAACGUAGGAAGAAGCAAGAUUA